rnacentral:rRNA from 1 species
AUUGAACGCUGGCGGCAGGCCUAACACAUGCAAGUCGAGCGGAUGAAGGGAGCUUGCUCCUGGAUUCCGCGGCGGACGGGUGAGUAAUGCCCAGGAAUCUGCCUGGUAGUGGGGGAUAACGUCCGGAAACGGGAGCUAAUAUCGCAUACGUCCUGAGGGAGAAAGUGGGGGAUCUUCGGACCUAACGCUAUCUGAUGAGCCUAGGUCGGAUUAGCUAGUUGGUGGGGUAAAGGCCUACCAAGGCGACGAUCCGUAACUGGUCUGAGAGGAUGAUCAGUCACACUGGAACUGAGACACGGUCCAGACUCCUACGGGAGGCGGCAGUAGGGAAUAUUGGACAAUGGGCGAAAGCCUGAUCCAGCCAUGCCGCGUGUGUGAAGAAGGUCUUCGGAUUGUAAAGCACUUUAAGUUGGGAAGAAGGACAGUAAGUUAAUACCUUGCUGUUUUGACGUUACCAACAGAAUAAGCACCGGCUAACUUCGUG